GGAUGUGAGGGCGAGCUGGCUGCGACACCUGUCACCCACUGAUCGCCAGGGCUGAUUCUGCUGAGUGGCUGGCUAGGCGGGUGUCCCCUUCCUCCCUCACAGCUCCAAGUGCAUCCCGCCUGAAGCUGCGCACUUAGUGCGAGACGGCCUCCCCAGGAGAGGAGGAUCGUCUUUGGUCGAGAGGAUGUGAGCUGUGCUCUCCUGCUAGGACCUCCAAACAAGCUCUCAAGAUUGGUGAAUUAGUACUGGGUUCCAAAGUCUAUUUAUUGUCUUUGACCAAUAUGUGUCUUAAAUGUUUUCAAAUCUAU
rnacentral:snRNA from 1 species